GACGAACGCUGGCGGCGUGCUUAACACAUGCAAGUCGAGCGGUAAGGCCCUUUCGGGGGUACACGAGCGGCGAACGGGUGAGUAACACGUGGGUGACCUGCCCUCAGCUCUGGGAUAAGCCUGGGAAACCGGGUCUAAUACCGGAUAUGACUCCAUGACGCAUGUUGUGGGGUGGAAAGCCUUGUGCGGCUGAGGAUGGGCCCGCGGCCUAUCAGCUUGUUGGUGGGGUGANGGCCUACCAAGGCGACGACGGGUAGCCGGCCUGAGAGGGCGACCGGCCACACUGGGACUGAGACACGGCCCAGACUCCUACGGGAGGCAGCAGUGGGGAAUCUUGCGCAAUGGGCGAAAGCCUGACGCAGCGACGCCGCGUGAGGGAUGACGGCCUCGGUGUAACU
rnacentral:rRNA from 1 species